GUGCCAGCCGCCGCGGUAAUACGGAGGGUCCGAGCGUUAUCCGGAAUCAUUGGGUUUAAAGGGUCCGCAGGCGGUCAAUUAAGUCAGAGGUGAAAUCCCAUAGCUUAACUAUGGAACUGCCUUUGAUACUGGUUGACUUGAGUUAUAUGGAAGUAGAUAGAAUGUGUAGUGUAGCGGUGAAAUGCAUAGAUAUUACACAGAAUACCGAUUGCGAAGGCAGUCUACUACGUAUAUACUGACGCUCAUGGACGAAAGCGUGGGGAGCGAACAGGAUUAGAUACCCUGGUAGUCCACGCCGUAAACGAUGGACACUAGUUGUUGGGAUUUAUCUCAGUGACUAAGCGAAAGUGAUAAGUGUCCCACCUGGGGAGUACGAUCGCAAGAUUGAAACUCAAAGGAAUUGACGGGGGCCCGCACAAGCGGUGGAGCAUGUGGUUUAAUUCGAUGAUACGCGAGGAACCUUACCAGGGCUUAAAUGUAGUCUGACAGCUUUAGAGAUAGAGUUUUCUUCGGACAGAUUACAAGGUGCUGCAUGGUUGUCGUCAGCUCGUGCCGUGAGGUGUCAGGUUAAGUCCUAUAACGAGCGCAACCCUUGUCGUUAGUUGCCAGCAUGUAAAGAUGGGGACUCUAACGAGACUGCCGGUGCAAACCGAGAGGAAGGUGGGGAUGACGUCAAAUCAUCACGGCCCUUACGUCCUGGGCCACACACGUGCUACAAUGGUAUGGACAA
rnacentral:rRNA from 1 species